GUGCUCACUUAGGUAGCACAUAUACAAAAAUUGGAAUGAUACAGAAAAGAUUAGCAUGACACAAAUUCAUGAGGACCUGGCUUAUUUU
rnacentral:snRNA from 1 species